rnacentral:lncRNA from 1 species
UAGAGUACUUCUCAUAGUGCAUCCAGUUCUCAACCUGUUCCACCCAUUCCAUGUCCUGUCUCUGCUCCUUCUAUCCCUAGUCCAUGGCUUUCCUCUCUGGGUCCUUUGGGCCUUAGGGCCCAUGGUUGCCCUUUGUCCUGUUAUUGGAGGCGUUCCCAGGGUUCCCCACAGCUGUUGUCCAGGACUAUGGCUAAUGAAUCUUCCUUUGAUCAUUAAGGGAUUGGUGUCAGGUGCCCUAGACUGGUAGGCUAAAUGGUCCUGUAGAACUGAGAAGACCGUGAGGCAAGGAGAUGACACAGCCUAUCCUGACCUGGCUUGGGGAUUUGGGAGAAGGUGAAGAAUAAAAAGGCUUAAAGACUAUUGGGGGUUAGGUUGGCCAAACACAGGGAGGGCGUGGUGAAUGAGAGAAUAUGGAGUAAGGGUGCUGGGGAGCCAGGUGUGUGUGGUAGAUGUGAGGAGUGUGCUAGGUAGGUCAGGCUCUUGGAUAUUUUUGUAGUCUGGUCUCAUUGUCGUCACAGCAGCUGCAGAGGACAGGUCUGUUGCUCCUGGUUACAGCGGAGACAGGACAUUUAGACUAUUAACUUCCUCAUGUUGUAGCUGCCACAGGGCUUGCACAUCUCCUCUGGAGAUGGUUGAGGCUGGAGAGGUUGGUGUAGCGAGCCUAUCUAGUGAGAUAUUGUCUCAAAAGGGUGGAGCUCCAGAGGGAGCUCGAAGAGUUUGCAGAGACGCUUGUCCCAGCUUGUCCCAUCCUUGCACAGCAUGGUACUGUCACUAGCCCCAGGUUUGGCAUGGCUGAGGGCAAGCCCUCCUGCUUGUAUUUGUUAUGUUUACACUUUUGAAACAGCUCUAGGCUUGCUUCUGUCCAGUCCAGUCCAGCUCUCUGCUUGGCUACUCAUCCUUCAGGUCUUUAAGGCUUGCCCUAGCCCCCAUCCCAGCAGUUUGUCAUGAAGCAUGUUAUAUCAUAAGGACACUUCCUGCUUUAAUGUCACCAGGCUGCCCUUGCAACACCAUGGAAGAAAGCCAGUACUCUAACAGGUUUUUACUGUAGUCUACAGCUUGAGGACUGAGAAAGCACAGAUCUUUCAAGGGCAAAAGUCUUUGUUGUUGACACUCAGGGACACAUUUCAGUUUUCAGAGGAGUGACUUUGCGGGACGGGGGACAGGCUUGCCAGGAGGAUCUGAGCUGCUAGGGAUGGGUUGGGGCUCUUCCAUGAUGGAGACUGCCUUGACAGACCUAGGACUUUAAACUUACAAUCUGGGCACAUCCCCUCACUGGACUCCCCCAUUUUCCUUUUGAGACAACAUCUCACUCUGACCCAGGCUGGCUUUGAAAUUUCUAUUCUGCCUCAGUCUCACAAGGGCUGGGCUUAUAGUAUGUGCCUGUCUGGAGGCCUGGGGGUGAUAGUAGUACUGGGUAUCAAACCCAAGGCUUCCUGCAUUCAAGGCAACCAUUAUAACAUUGAGUUACAUGUCAACCCCUUUUAUUUGAGAUAGUGUCUCUCUUAGGGUAGUUUCUAAUGCCUGGCUUCCCCUGGCCUCUAUCAUCCUUAGCUGGUAUCACAGGCCUGUUCUACCAGGAGCAGCUGGAUUUGCAUUUAGUCUUACAACUAUGAAGCCCACUUCACUCUCAUUGUAUUAAUGGGAAUGUAGUCGGUAUUUAUAACAGUUACAUUAAAAUGUCACACUUGAAAAUGGAGGCAUUACAGGUGUGUGUGUGUGUGUGUGUGUGUGUGUGUGUGUGUAACACUUGAAAGUUCUAAGGCAGGCCCGGGAACUGAUAGGGGACAACUCAAUUUCCUUACAUUGAUUUAUAUGAGUAUACGAGGGAGAAAGACGACUUUUUUUAGACUGCCUCAUGAAGCUCAGGCUGACCCUGAGUUCCUGACCCUCUUGCCUCAAAUCUCUCAUAUGCUAGGAUUACUGGUGUGUGCUGUCACACCUGCCUGAGUUUUGGUAGCGUAGGCUACAAAGUGAGAUAUUGUCUCAAAAGGAAGAAAAAUGUGCCUAGAUUUUAAGUUUAAAUUUCUAGGCCAAUUUCCCACCAUGGAGAAGCCACAUCUUCAUUGCCAGCAGCCCAAUUUCUUCUGGCUUCCCUAUGAAACCCUAGAAUCUUGGGCAUGCUAGGCCAGGCCAGCUUGUUAUCCUCCAUGCUAUAUAUCCUCAAACCUGAAAGAUUUGGAAUAUAGUGAAAAAUCUCCAGAUUGGGACUGGAGAGAUGGCUUGGAGGUUAAGAAUGAUUGCUGCUAUUGCACAGGACUGAAGUUCAAUUCUCAGCACCCAGUCAAACAACUCAAAAGCCCCUGUAAUUCCAGGUCCAGAGGAUCCACUGGCUUCUGGGCGUAUCCGCUAACACAUGGCAUACACAGACACUUCAAAUAAAAAUAUAAAGGGCCCCCAAUGGAGGAGCUAGAGAAAGCACCCAAGGAACUAAAGGGAACUGCAACCCUAUAGGUGGAACAACAAUAUGAACUAACUAGUACCCCGGAGCUCUUGUCUCUAGCUGCAUAUGUAUCAAAAGAUGGCCCAGUAGGCCAUCACUGGAAAGAGAGGCCCAUUAGACUUGCAAACUUUAUAUGCCCCAGUACAGGGGAACGCCAGGGCAAAAAAAGGGGAGUGGGAAGGUGGGUAUGGGGAACUUUUGGGAUAGCAUUGGAAAUGUAAAUGAGGAAAAUACCUAUUAAAAAUG